rnacentral:tRNA from 1 species
UGGCCCGUAGCUCAGAGGUUAGAGCGUCAUCCUUAUAAGGUGGGAGUCGUGGGUUCAAGUCCCACCGGGCCGACCA